UUACAAGUGCUUUUCGCGUGCGUUUGUGAGAUAUUGGUGAAGGAUCGCGUGCGUUUGUGAGAUAUUGGUGAAGGAUCGCGUGCGUUUGUGAGAUAUUGGUGAAGGAUCGCGUGCGUUUGUGAGAUAUUGGUGAAGGAUCGCGUGCGUUUGUGAGAUAUUGGUGAAGGAUCGCGUGCGUUGGUGAGAUAUUGGUGAAGGAUCGCGUGCGUUGGUGAGAUACUGGUGAAGGAUCGCGUGCGUUGGUGAGAUACUGGUGAAGGAUCGCGUGCGUUGGUGAGAUACUGGUGAAGGAUCGCGUGCGUUGGUGAGAUACUGGUGAUAAUUAAUAUCUGAUCUGCUCUCUGAUUUAAAGAUUGGUAUAAUCGAGUCCACCUUCCAAGCUGGUGGAACAACAGCCUGUUUAAUUGAUAGAUUUAUCAUAUGUGUAAUGUAGCUUUGGAAUUAUUUAAUUCAUCAUUGACACAUUUGGUUUCCUUAAUUUCUUCAAUCAUAAAUAUAGGCUGGGUGUAGUUUUCAUUUCAUUUUCAGAUGGGGUGAAUAACUGAGAUGUUUCUUGAACAGAAUUUUUUUUUUUUUAAAUAAUUUAACUCAGACACGAGGAUAACCAAUACAUUAUUAAAUUUAAGUUCAAAGAAUUUAUCCUGUUUUUUCUGUUUACCAAUUAAUUUGUUAAUGCUUUGCCAGAUUUUUUUCCCUUUCCCUCUUGCACUUUCAAUAAUUGUGUGCGUUUGUGAGAUACUGGUGAAGAAUUCUGUCUGUGAGAUAUUGAUGGAGGAUCGUGUGUGUGUGAGAUAUUGAUGGAUUGUGUAUGUUUGUGAGAUAUUGAUGAUAACAUUGAUAACAAACGAGCAGCAGAAACCUGAGAGCUCCUCCAUCACAGUGAGGAGGGAGCAGAGAUUUGUCAAGUUAAGAUGGAGUGUUGUAUGUCGUUAUUAUCGGCUGCUGAUGACGAUCCUGACAGGACGAUGAAGAUAAUGAUGUCUGGUGUCCGAACAGACUCUCAUUAAAGCUUCAUCGUCCUGCAAAAAAUCUAAAGACAUCUGGCUACACCAGAGCUGUUUCUCCUGGUGAAAAACAUCCACACUGGUUUAGACACAUUUACAGAAUUGCUUUAAACAUGCACCACAGCCUUGGUAAGGCCAAGUACAUACAUUUCAGUGUCAUCUGCAUACAGUCGAAUGUUAGUGUCAGGAUAAAUGAAUGGAAAACAAUUCAUGCAUUAUGUAUCUAGCAGUGGGCCCCAGGAUAGAGCUCUGUGGGACACAUUUGGGCAGACAAAGUGCAACUGAGACAAACCAAGCAAUUUGAUAGAUAUGAUUGAAGCUAGCUUACGUAAACAAGAGAAUCUGGUUAUUAACUUCAGGUGAAAAAGCUCCUACAACACCUUUCAUCCAACAGAUAUUUACAGUCAGCAGAGUUUAGAGUGGAUAAACGUUCAUAAAUCUGUUAAGAUUCAUAUAAAAAGACAUCCCAAUGAACUUGUUGGUCUGCAGCAGUGCCAACACAAACUUUGGCCGCUAGCAUGACUUUUUAUGAUGCACAUGUACCAGAAUGAGUCAGGGUUUUGGGUUAGUUAGGUGUGUUUUUAGUGUUUCCUGUGUUGCAUUGUAGCUUUGACCUGCCCUAGUGUUCUGGUCUUGUUUUAGUCUCUUUGUUCCUUGCCUUUGAUUUUGUUUUCUCACGUUAUGUUUUAUAUUGUGAUAUAUAUCCAUAUGUUUAUAUGAGCUUUACUUGCUGUGUUAUUUUGUGGCGUUCUGCCUCUUGUUUCUUUGUUUCCUGCUUCUGUUCAUUCUCACUGAUUUUCUCAUUGUGUAUUAUUACAUUCGCUCCUCCUGUGGUGUUUGUGUUUUAUGGAUAGUUCUAUGUUUCGCUUGGAUUUUGUUAUUCAGCUCUGGAUUACUUUGCCUCUGUUUUGGACAAUCGACCUCACUGGCACCUAGUGUAAAUAAAACCUCGCUCAACUGGA